GUCCAGACUCCUACGGGAGGCAGCAGUGGGGAAUAUUGCACAAUGGGGGAAACCCUGAUGCAGCGACGCCGCGUGAGUGAAGAAGUAUUUCGGUACGUAAAGCUCUAUCAGCAGGGAAGAAAAUGACGGUACCUGAGUAAGAAGCCCCGGCUAACUACGUGCCAGCAGCCGCGGUAAUACGUAGGGGGCAAGCGUUAUCCGGAUUUACUGGGUGUAAAGGGAGCGUAGACGGCAUGGCAAGUCAGAUGUGAAAGCCCGGGGCUCAACCCCGGGACUGCAUUUGAAACUGUCAGGCUGGAGUGCAGGAGAGGUAAGUGGAAUUCCUAGUGUAGCGGUGAAAUGCGUAGAUAUUAGGAGGAACACCAGUGGCGAAGGCGGCUUACUGGACUGUAACUGACGUUGAGGCUCGAAAGCGUGGGGAGCAAACAGGAUUAGAUACCCCCGUAGA
rnacentral:rRNA from 1 species